AUUCCUCUGACAGGGUUCAAAGGCACAAAUGGAGGCUCCCAGGAUGCUCUUGUGGUUCAGACACUGGACUGGCACUGAGAUGAUCUGGAUUCAAAUCCUCUGCCACAGGCUCCGUGGGUGACCUUGGACGCCAUUGGGAGUUCGGUCACGUUCUGCUGGGACAGGUUUGCCAUGAAGACACCAAUCUUGCUUUGUGAAGCCCUGAUCUUCCUAUGGAGAAGCAAGAUUUUGAUUUUUAGCAGUGACUUCUGUUCAAGGAUUGAUGUGAUGAGUCCAGUUAUUCAUCUUGGUGUUUUGUGCCCUUUCAUCUGGGUCGCGAAAACCCUUCAGCAAGAUCAAAGAAGGGCAUGUUUAGUGGAGCCGCAAACGUCUGCUCUGGUCAGCAAAAGCUCAGCCAACCUGAGUGAAUGCAGUUUGUCCAGAUUAGGGCCCAGAUCUGCAAAAGUAUUUAGGUGAUUUCAAUGGGAUGCAGGCACCUAACUCCCUUAGGAUGUCUGGGUCUAGGCCCCUGGUUCCCACAUAGAUCUCCCCAUCUCCUCUCCAACUUCCCCUCUCCUCAGGCCCCAGGGUUCUCCUUACUCACCACUCAUGUCUUUGGUAGGGAGAAGGGCAAUGGCGACCUGACCCUGCUACGUCCUGAACUCUCCAGUGUCUUUGGAGAGGGCAGCCAGGGCACUGGGGUACUAGCUGUCCGAGUGGUGUAAUGGUGCAGGGGAAUUACCCAGGCCAUUUCCUGCCAUUGCUGGAGAUUUAGGGAGCAGCAGUGACCCUGCAGAGGUGGGGGAGCAGCAAGCUGGCAGGUCCUGAACACUCUACAGCAGAGGCCCAAUAGCUCCAGGAGGCAGCAAUGAGGAAAGAAGUCAAGCUACUCACCCUGCCCAAGAUAUCAUUGGUAAGUAGGUGUCCCCUGGGCAUGGAAAGCUGGCUGUGUACAGUUGGCAAAUGGAGAUGAGAACUGAGGGUGAUUUCAUGGAAACUUAGACGCAUAGCAAACAAGCACCGCCCCCAACAAGCAGUCCUCCAACCAGGAGGGUCAUGUGACCUGCAUGAUUCAAACCCGCCUUGUUUGUGCAGCCAUAGGUUUUCUGUACAUUUCCACACAUGACAGUGUCACACUCCCAAGAAGGCACUUUUGGUUAAAAACCCCUCUUGGCAGGUGCUAAUAACUUUUAAAGAAACAGUUUAAACUCUUCUGGGGCAUCAAGUCUCCAGCCUUUUCUCGACCAAUGGGGACAUUUGUUAGGAACAUGUGGUUCAGUUUUAUUCAGCUGUUUGAAUUAUCCCAGUGUGGGGAAAUGGCAUUUCCCACAGCUUCAUGUUUUUCUGUUGCCCUUUUGAGCUCUCAGCUUUAAAAAACCAAACCCCACAAAAUCUCCUUUAAAAACUUCAAACUUGCCCUCAGCUCAAUUCAGUGGAGACUCGUGCUUCUGCUCAUGUAUCUCAGAGAAAAGAGGCCCUGUGCUAUUAAUACGUCUGAAGAAACUGGAUUUAGACAUAUCAAAGUCCCAAGUCUUUAAAGAACUGCACACUGUAGCUGUGCACUACACAAUUUCCUCCUAGCUUUCAACAAAUGGUGCAGUGCUCUAGGGCCUGAAUAUACAUGUGAUCUCACUGGUUGGCUCUGAUUCAGCAAGGCACAUCAGCACAGGUCUAACUUUAAGCACCUGAGUAGUCUCAUUGACUCUAAUGUGCUUAAAAUUAGGCACAGGCAUUUGCUGACUUGGGACCUUAAAUAGCUGCUGCCUUCCAUCUUAAGGACUAGAUUUUGGCAUCCUUACUCCCAUUGAGUUGCACCUUAUUAUGCCAGCAGUUGGUUACAUUUAAGUGCUGGGUGACGUGUAUGUAAUAGGAGCUUGAUCUUGUAGUCUUCAUGUAAGCAGACAUCUCAUUGAAUUUGAUGGAAGUUGUGCCUAUAUAGGAAUUCUGGAUUGGGUGGUCUGAUGGGGUGUUUAUCAAACAGCAGAAAGGAAGGGGUUGAAAGCAAUCUGUGGCGGUCGUGCAGGGAGCAGCCAAUCAGAGAGUGGCUGCACGGAGCAGCCAAUCGGGGUCAAGUGGGCUUACAUAAAAGAAGCUGCAGGGCCAGAGACAGUCAGGGGCUGCAGGGAACCCAAGGAGAGAGGACUGUGUUCCUAGCGAGUUGCAGGAAAGUAGUACCUUGGACAGAGCAGUUGUUGACAGGGACCGGGGAGUAAGAGGGAGCCCCUAACUGGCUGCUAGGACUUGUGGGCUGGAGGCCUUGAGAAGAGGGCAAAGAAGGUGCUGGGGUCCCAGGGAAGUGGCCCAGGGAAUAGAAGCAGCUUGGAGCGGUGUUAAAGAGACGCAGCAGGAGGUUGCUACCUACAGGGUCCCUGGGUCGGGACCCAGAGUAGAGGAAGGGCCUGGGUCCCUCCUACUUGCCACUGGGGAAGUGGCUGAACUACAGAACUAGGAGAUUCUUAACUCCCCCUGCCCUGGGAAGGGUGAAGGUAUGGAUGGUGGUACAGCCAAGUCAUGAAAAGGACACUGUGGUUCCUGGGCUGAGACAGCUCUGCAGGUGGAGAAGGCGGUGGAAAUUUUUUUUUCCUUUCCUUUAAUGGAAAAUUAUUCAGAUUCUAGCCAAACAUGUUUUUCUAAUUAAGCAGACUAUUUUGCAUUUCUAUUUGCAUAUGAAAAAUAACCUCACCAUAAAUACAACAAAUCUCCUUCCCAACAUAGUGUUUGCGAGCUGGCUCUCUGGGGGUUAGAUCCAUCUUUGUUUUUUCUGGGCUUUAGCAGGGGAAUCUCCCCACUGCAGCUGGGUGCUUUACUUCCACAGACUUCAGUGCUACCAUACAAGUAACAAGAUGAGAACUCAGGAGUAGCCCUAGGUUUCUAUGGCAAAGCAUAUACAGCAGCCACCUUCAUUAUCUUUCAUACUUGAUCUGUAGAAAUUGGUUUUGUCAAUUUUGAUUUCAGCCAAGCACAGUAGGAUAAACAAAGGAAAGUACAAGAGAAGCAGAUGGUUUGUUGAAGAGUGCAGGGCAAUCAGGAAGUAUGUGCAUUUUUUUUAUAGCCUGUAAUGGUCUUGCCUGCCUGCCUGUCUCCAUGUAAAUCCUGAAAUGAAUUGGGCUUGUGGAAUAUUUUUGAAAUAAAAGAAAUCUCUUACAAUGAGUCUGGAAUAUUAGUGCGCAGAAGUUGCUGGGAUUGUUGCUGGAAUAUUAGAUCAGAUGACCAAAGAAUUUUAAACCCUGCUAAACAUUGAGGGCAGAGUUUUCUUCUCAGAUCCACAGUGUUGAUGUUAACACCAAUAUUCUUCUCUCCCUUCAGAUACAUAACUCCCACUAAUAUCAUAUGUCUCAGCAUACUUCUCCUGUCUUAUCAUGUCAGCCAAGACCUUUUUAAAUUUACCAUUGGCUUCCUCUGGCAAAGAAGGAAGAAGAAGCAGGGAAGGGAGACAUAUCUCAGGGCCCUAGUCAUGCAGGGAGCUGCUGGCUGGUGAACUCCGGUGUGCACAUCCUCCUAAUCUAUGCAAUAUUUGGUAGGAAUGUGUGGGAGUUUUCCUUUAAGCUUUCUCCAAAAUCUUUGUGAAAUCAGUGAUUUCCACAAUGAGCUCUAAUACUAUUGAGCUGCUGUGCUAAAAUUCACACACUGCAUUUUAGUUCCUUGGCCCCCGUAGCCCCAUGUAUCCUUGGCUAAUUUGAACAAAUGUCCCUUGUCAUGCUGAUAGAUGUGCACAGACCCCCACAUAACUCCAGUCCACCCUGACUCCACUUGUGAGCACCAGGGAGCACAUGGGCUCCAGCUGAAAUCCCUUUUAUGUACUCCCAGGAAAUAUUUUCACAACUGAAGUUUUGUUUAUAGGAAUGCUGAUAGAAAGAGGGAGUGUCGUGAAAACCUGUCUGGAUAUAGAUUCAUAAGUAUUCAAGCUGGAAGUGUUCAGGGGCCAUUGAAGGUAACUUAUGGGUUUAAGAAUUAUCCAAUCAAGGCACAGAAACGGUACCAUGUUGCUUGAGUGAUCAGAUCACAUGUUGCUAAUAUUUAUUUGCAAAUACAGUACUUGAAUAGUUUGCAAACAAUCCAGCCUCUCAGAGUUGGUAAGACAACUCCCACCUGUUUAUGCUCUCUGUA